ensembl:lncRNA
AAGAGUUCAGACUUGAAGGCCUGAGCUAGUGUGCUGUGAUGAGCUACACGGACAGGUCUUGCUAGUUGCAGGACUUGGACUUACUUUGGGUGUGGCCACAGGAGUCUUGUGAGAGAAGCGAAUAUUUGCAUGGGAGCCUUGCAUUGACACUGUGUGCUUUGGAUUUCAGGGAGCAGGCUGAUGCCUCUUGGGGCAUAAUACAAAGUCUUGGAACUGUGAAUUAUCCACAAAGAAAAGAAAAGCAAAAACUCCAGCUUCCAGGUGCGGGUGAGCUGGUAGACUGUCUGCACACCUUUGCAGUGUGGAGAACAUUCCGGAAGGAAAGGAGCCAAGACAGGAGUUGAUGUUUAGUUAGGAGGCUGGAGCGGUGCUUCUGGGGACCCUAAGUUUGUUUUCUCAGCUGACUAGAUUGUGGGCGAAGUGACAUCACCAUCUGAUCAGCAUCUAAAAACAUUUCAGCUACGUUAAAAAAAAUAGAGAUCUCGAACGUGCUCCCUUAAUUACAUUUGACCAUUUGAGCAGCUGCGUGGAAACCCCGGGUAGCCGGCCUGUUCUGCAAUUUGUUUUGAAAACAAGCUUUUCAGUCUCUCGGCUGCGAGGAUCCUGUGUAAAGGGUGUACACUGUGAAUCACAGUUUCAAAGGAAGACGACAAACACAGAUCUCAGCCAAGUAAUUUGUAAAACUGGACUGCUGACAGAAAUUCAGGAAGCAGCAGAAAACAACCAAGAACAAAGACACAGUCAAGAGGCUGGAUGU